rnacentral:rRNA from 1 species
GAUGAACGCUGACAGAAUGCUUAACACAUGCAAGUCUUUGGCGAAGCUGUGCUUGCACAGCCUAGCCAAGGCGGACGGGUGAGUAACGCGUAAGGGACUUGUCCUGCAGUCAGGGAUAACAGACGGAAACGACUGAUAAAACCUGGUAAAGUCAGGCGGACUCAUGUCCAGCCUGAUGAAAAGGAAUGCUGCAGGAGAGCCUUGCGUCCUAUUAGCUCGUUGGUGGGGUAACGGCCCACCAAGGCGAUGAUAGGUAGCCGGCCUGAGAGGGUGGACGGCCACAAGGGGACUGAGAUACGGCCCUUACUCCUACGGGAGGUAGCAGUGGGGAAUAUUGGACAAUGGGGGCAACCCUGAUCCAGCAAUUCUGUGUGCACGAUGAAGGUCUUCGGAUUGUAAAGUGCUUUCAGCAGGGAAGAAAAAAAUGACGGUACCUGCAGAAGAAGCGACGGCUAAAUACGUGCCAGCAGCCGCGGUAAUACGUAUGUCGCGAGCGUUAUCCGGAAUUAUUGGGCAUAAAGGGCAUCUAGGCGGCCGGAUAAGUCUGGGGUGAAAACUUGCGGCUCAACCGCAAGCCUGCCCUGGAAACUAUGCGGCUAGAGUACUGGAGAGGUGGACGGAACUGCACGAGUAGAGGUGAAAUUCGUAGAUAUGUGCAGGAAUGCCGAUGAUGAAGAUAGUUCACUGGACGGUAACUGACGCUGAAGUGCGAAAGCUAGGGGAGCAAACAGG